UUAAUCCCGGGUACGCUCGCAAACUGUUCCAACCUGCGAAGGCUAAACCUUGCCGGGAAUCUUCUAGCUGGCGAGGUUCCUCGAGAGCUGGGUCUCCUCGCCAACCUAGUGCUUAGGGCAUAUACAACGCCCAUAAAUGAGUCGUCUUUACCUGGUUAAUUACGAUUAUCGAGGCUCUUAACUCCGGUUUUUUCCGCAACGACCCCGUGCCGUCGUCUCGCGAGACGACGGCAGCGGCCCGUGUCCCGAGCCAAUGCAGACGGCUCGCUCCGCGUUGUAGGCAGCCGAUGUGAGAAGGCGACGGCAGCUUCGAUCCCAUGCUCCGGCCGCGAAACAAAGGUUGAGGCAAGGAUAAAGAAAGCGGAGACCGGCGGCAUCUCUGUCCCUCUCGCACACCACUCUGUUUCACAGGCUCAGCACUGUCGCGCUGCGCACACCCUGCUAGCUCUGUACGCCAGAGCAUCCCAAGGCACAGCACUGGGAGAGGAGGAGGACGACGGAGAAGCUGGGCCAUGAUCUCUUUUACCAUUCGGCCCUUGCAAUUUAGUAAUACAAUCACCGUAGAAGAUAAUUAUCUCAUAUAAGUCUUUUUUGCAAGCAAAAUGUCAUGGAAUAAAGUAAGACAUUGUAUAACAAUCCUUCUAAUUUACUUGUAUUCUCUC